UACGUAGGGGGCAAGCGUUGUCCGGAUUUAUUGGGCGUAAAGAGCGUGUAGGCGGCCAUACAGGUCAGCUGUGAAAACUCGAGGCUCAACCUCGAGACGUCGGUUGAAACCGUAUGGCUAGAGUCCGGAAGAGGAGAGUGGAAUUCCCGGUGUAGCGGUGAAAUGCGCAGAUAUCGGGAAGAACACCCGUGGCGAAGGCGGCUCUCUGGGACGGUACUGACGCUGAGACGCGAAAGCGUGGGGAACGAACAGG
rnacentral:rRNA from 1 species